rnacentral:rRNA from 1 species
GGCAACAGCUCAAAUUUGAAAUCUGGCUCUUUUAGAGUCCGAGUUGUAAUUUGCAGAGGGCGCUUUGGCUUUGGCAGCGGUCCAAGUUCCUUGGAACAGGACGUCACAGAGGGUGAGAAUCCCGUACGUGGUCGCUGGCUAUUGCCGUGUAAAGCCCCUUCGACGAGUCGAGUUGUUUGGGAAUGCAGCUCUAAAUGGGAGGUACAUUUCUUCUAAAGCUAAAUAUUGGCCAGAGACCGAUAGCGCACAAGUAGAGUGAUCGAAAGAUGAAAAGCACUUUGGAAAGAGAGUCAAACAGCACGUGAAAUUGUUGAAAGGGAAGCGCUUGCAGCCAGACUUGCUUGCAGUUGCUCAUCCGGGCUUUUGCCCGGUGCACUCUUCUGUAGGCAGGCCAGCAUCAGUUUGGGCGGUGGGAUAAAGGUCUCUGUCACGUACCUCUCUUCGGGGAGGCCUUAUAGGGGAGACGACAUACCACCAGCCUGGACUGAGGUCCGCGCAUCUGCUAGGAUGCUGGCGUAAUGGCUGUAAGCGGCCCGUCUUGAAACACGGACCAAGGAGUCUAACAUCUAUGCGAGUGUUUGGGUGUCAAGCCCGAGCGCGUAAUGAAAGUGAACGGAGGUAGGAACCCGUAAGGGUGCACUAUCGACCGAUCCUGAUGUCUUCGGAAGGAUUUGAGUAAGAGCAUGGCUGUUGGGACCCGAAAGAUGGUGAACUAUGCUUGAAUAGGGUGAAGCCAGAGGAAACUCUGGUGGAGGCUCGCAGCGGUUCUGACGUGCAAAUCGAUCGUCAAAUUUGGGCAUAGGGGCGAAAGACUAAUC